GAAAGGCUGCAGGGGCACGCUCGCAGGCUUCGCAAACCCAUACACGCUCGUGGCGAGAAGCCAUGAGACUUGCUGUAUGAAUGCGGGCAUCACAGCCCGCACACAAAUAGGCGGAAUCCGCCCGACAGUAAACGUUGGAGCACUGAAGUUUAGCAGGAAUGCUGGAGACUUAUGGAGCACUGUGAAAUGUGAAGGGGCUGAGGAGGGAAAAUGACAAUUAGGCAACUACCAAGUGGGGAGAGAAUCCACAGGUGACACGUGGAGAGAAGUUAAUGGGUAAGAAAAGUUGUUUCAUUAUCUUGUGGUGGCUGGUGAUUCUGGUGGGGUCGGUUGAACAAGUGGGUCCAGAGGCCUUUGGCUUUUGGAAUCAAUUGAGGUGGGAGAGGUUUGUCCAAGAGAUUGCCUUCUUGGGGGAGACUAGAGAGAGUUCAACUCUAUUUAAGCAUUUUUAUUACAAUUUCUAUAAAUACUCUUCAUAUUUUUUUAAAUAUACAAUAUGUUCCUGUUUUCAUAUAUUUAUAUCAAAGACUAUAUUGACACAUU